AAAUGAAUUGACGGGGGCCCGCACAAGCGGUGGAGCAUGUGGUUUAAUUCGAUGCAACGCGAAGAACCUUACCUACUCUUGACAUCGAGCGAACUUUUCCAGAGAUGGAUUGGUGCCUUCGGGAACGCUCAGACAGGUGUUGCAUGGCCGUCGUCAGCUCGUGUUGUGAAAUGUUGGGUUAAGUCCCGUAACGAGCGCAACCCUUGUCCCUAUUUGCCAGCGAUCGGGUCGGGAACUCUGGGAGACUGCCGGUGACAAACCGGAGGAAGGUGGGGACGACGUCAGGUCAUCAUGGCCCUUACGAGUAGGGCUACACACGUGCUACAAUGGCCGGUACAAUGGGCUGCAAUCCCGCGAGGGGGAGCUAAUCUCAUAAAGCCGGUCUCAGUCCGGAUCGGAGUCUGCAACUCGACUCCGUGAAGUCGGAAUCGCUAGUAAUCGUGCAUCAGAAUGGCACGGUGAAUACGUUCCCGGGCCUUGUACAUACCGCCCGUCACACC
rnacentral:rRNA from 1 species